rnacentral:rRNA from 1 species
AGCAGCCGCGGUAAUUCCAGCUCCAAUAGCGUAUAUUAAAGUUGCUGCAGUUAAAAAGCUCGUAGUUGAAUUUCGGGACCAAUAUGUCGGUCGUGCCUCGGUACGUACUGGCAUCGUUGGUUUCUCCCUUCUGAAGAACCAUGAUGUCAUUUAUUUGGUGUCGUGGGGAAUCAGGACUGUUACUUUGAAAAAAUUAGAGUGUUUAAAGCAGGCUCACGCUUGAAUACAUUAGCAUGGAAUAAUGAAAUAGGACGUUUGAUUCUAUUUUGUUGGUUUCUAGGAUCGACGUAAUGAUUAAUAGGGAUAGUUGGGGGCAUUAGUAUUCAAUUGUCAGAGGUGAAAUUCUUGGAUUUAUUGAAGACUAACUACUGCGAAAGCAUUUGCCAAGGAUGUUUUCAUUAAUCAAGAACGAAAGUUAGGGGAUCGAAGACGAUCAGAUACCGUCGUAGUCUUAACCAUAAACUAUGCCGACUAGGGAUCGGAUGAUGUUAAUUUUUUAAUGACUCAUUCGGCGCCUUACG